UCCGAAUGUGCGAAUAUAAAACCAACUUUACCCAAGUUGCUAAAACAUGGAAAACACAAACACACUAUCACAGCUUUUGUUGCUACUAGCUGCUUCUUCACUCAGCAUGUUAAGACGCACAUGAAUUAGUGAUUAUUUCUCAUGCCAUAAAUUGCUUUUAAUAUUUGUCUGUUUUGUAGUAAUCAAGAGAAGUGUUAUCAUCGCUGAAGAAAUGGCAGAUUUUAAUCCCCAGACACCGAGCAGGUCAAGCCCUGAAGAAAUAACACCAUAGACAUCAUCUUCUGACUGAACUAGCAAGGAGCUGUUGGAGUCAAUGAGAAAGCUAGUGGAAUGUAAACUUGAGUAAACGGCACUAUUGUAAUGAUAAUUUCUAAGUUUACUGAGCGACGUAAACUGCUGUCAUCCACGUCACAUCAUUGCUCUAACCAACAUUACCUGAAGAAUCCUUUCAGCGUAGCAGAUAUUCACAAGCGUCUGGAGCCAACAUAAAAUGUAAGUAAAGCAAAACAUUUUUUUUUUUUGUUUUUUUCUUAUUUGAUUUUGUAAGGAUAUCUUAAUGAAGAAAACGUAGGGCAACAAUGUUAAUGUUAAUGUUAAUGUUACCUACGUUUUUUCCCCGUCAUCAUUAUAUAAGUGUGUUGCUGCUUUUUGUUAAGCACACUGAUCUGAGAAAUUUGAUUUUAUUCCUACAUUCAUGUGAAUAAACUAGCAGUAGCUUCAUCUAUGAUUAGUAAACCUUUACAAUCUUUCUUUACUUGCAGGCUGAACUGGAUACUUACUGAAGAGUGAGCUUAAACACUUAAAGUAACUUCAGUUGAGUUUAAAUGCUAGUUGCGUGAUGUUUCCUCAGAUAACUGCACACAGACCUGACUUUCUCUUUUCUACAUCCACUGUUGGUUAUACACUUGUGUGGUUUUGGUUUUUUAGGUUUGUACAAAGUUACACCAUAUCACUGAAAACGGCACGCGUCAACAAGAUUUCAGAGACUCUGCGUGACAUUUUAAAUGUUUAUGAUCUUCAGGGUGUGCAUGAUGUCACCAUGAAACGCACCAUAGCCCUCUGUGCUCCUCGGUGUAUCUGUGAGAGGAGGACCCACAAUUCUUCAAGACUUGAAAUGUAGGUAUUCAAUGCAUUAAGAGAAUUGCUAGUAUCGGUGAAUGUAACUGUCUACUUUUAGUCUACUGAGUGAAACUUACAGUUGGACCCUCUCUGCUUAUUUCAGGAGGCGUUGGGAGAGCAGACAUCACUGAUUCUGUCAUUGUGGUCAACGAAACCACAAGUCCUUCAAGCACUGCAGUUGUGAUAGAAGAUGAUCUUCAGUUUUAUAAUAAAAGACUAAUCUUCAAAAAAAUCUUCAAUUGUACAGCUGGAGGUUUAUUUUAUUUAAUUUUUUUAGGUGUUGUUGUUGUUUUUUUGUCUUUUGAGUUAGUUUUUUUUUUAUGUAAUGAAGUCCUGUAGAGGUGCCGAUCCUGUUCCUGGAGAUCUUCCUGCCUGCAGAGUUCAGCUAAGUUAUUCAGCUAAUUAUUUUCCUAAGUACAACAGCAAAACUUUUCCAUUUACGAAUGUAUUUAAAACAUUAAGUUUGUCUAUAUUUAUUCAAUUUUACACUCUGUGUAUAAGUAAAUACUAGUGUAUAAUUUUUCAAAAUGUGGUAAAUAUUUACAAUAACUGUAUAACAACUGCUGUUAUUUGAUGUAAUAUAGUUUUGUAAUUGUUUUGUAAAUAAAAUGUUUUCAUGCCAACCAGAUCAACUGAGUUCUUUUCAAAUGAA